CCCUUAGACGUUCUGGGCCGCACGCGCGCUACACUGACCAGUACAACAAGCAUCCGUCCUUGGCCGACAGGCCCGGGCAAUCUUUGAACGCUGGUCGUGAUGGGGAUAGACUUUUGCAAUUUUUGGUCUUCAACGAGGAAUUCCUAGUAAACGCAAGUCAUCAACUUGCAUUGAUUACGUCCCUGCCCUUUGUACACACCGCCCGUCGCACCUACCGAUUGAAUGGUCCGGUGAAGCCUCCGGAUUGGCGCGCACCUCGGUGCCGCCGAGAAGUUGGCUAAACCUUACCAUUUAGAGGAAGGUGAAGUCGUANCA
rnacentral:rRNA from 1 species